AUUGAACGCUGGCGGCAUGCUUUACACGUGCAAGUCGAACGGCAGCGCGGGCUUCGGCCUGGCGGCGAGUGGCGAACGGGUGAGUAAUGCAUCGGAACGUGCCCAGUAGUGGGGGAUAGCCCGGCGAAAGCCGGAUUAAUACCGCAUACGACCUGAGGGUGAAAGCGGGGGACCGAAAGGCCUCGCGCUAUUGGAGCGGCCGAUGUCGGAUUAGCUAGUUGGUGGGGUAAAGGCUUACCAAGGCGACGAUCCGUAGCUGGUCUGAGAGGACGGCCAGCCACACUGGGACUGAGACACGGCCCAGACUCCUACGGGAGGCAGCAGUGGGGAAUUUUGGACAAUGGGGGCAACCCUGAUCCAGCCAUGCCGCGUGCGGGAAGAAGGCCUUCGGGUUGUAAACCGCUUUUGUUCGGGAAGAAAUCCUCUGGGCUAAUACCCCGGGGGGAUGACGGUACCGGAAGAAUAAGCACCGGCUAACUACGUG
rnacentral:rRNA from 1 species